AUAUUAGCUGCUGCCCUGUCAAAAUGAACACAAUUGGAAACACCCAGACGCACACAUACAAAGAGUCAUACUGCCAUGCAAGUUAAACAGAUGAAAGCCCUAUAUACACAUACAUACAUUUGAACGGACUGAGUGCAGUUGAAGACACAGAUAUUAGCUGCUGCCCCGUCAAAAUGAACACAAUUGGAAACUAAUGAUGAUCGUUCCGCAUACCCUAGGUUUAGUUGACCGCCGCCUGGCCUUCUUUUUGGUCAGUUUAUUCAACUGAUAGUUAUCCACAUGCAAUUGCAUUAAUAGGACUCCUUCCUCUACAGCUAUAAGGGAAUUCAAAGCGAUGGUACCGGUCCCGCUGGACGAGAGGAUUGCAUCGCUUGAAUUAGAACUGUAAAUGCUGAUGAACCACACAUCCCAUUGAAUAUUAACCUUUCGCUUGUCCUUGUCUUUAAUAAACGCAAUUCAUCGAAUACA
rnacentral:sRNA from 1 species